rnacentral:rRNA from 1 species
AGCGAACGCUGGCGGCAGGCCUAACUCAUGCAAGUCGAACGAAGUCUUCGGACUUAGUGGCGGACGGGUGAGUAACACGUGGGAACGUGCCUUUAGGUUCGGAAUAACUCAGGGAAACUUGUGCUAAUACCGAAUGUGCCCUUCGGGGGAAAGAUUUAUCGCCUUUAGAGCGGCCCGCGUCUGAUUAGCUAGUUGGUGAGGUAAAGGCUCACCAAGGCGACGAUCAGUAGCUGGUCUGAGAGGAUGAUCAGCCACAUUGGGACUGAGACACGGCCCAAACUCCUACGGGAGGCAGCAGUGGGGAAUCUUGCGCAAUGGGCGAAAGCCUGACGCAGCCAUGCCGCGUGAAUGAUGAAGGUCUUAGGAUUGUAAAAUUCUUUCACCGGGGACGAUAAUGACGGUACCCGGAGAAGAAGCCCCGGCUAACUUCGUGCCAGCCGCCGCGUAAUAC